rnacentral:rRNA from 1 species
UAGGGAAUCUUCGGCAAUGGGGGCAACCCUGACCGAGCAACGCCGCGUGAGUGAAGAAGGUUUUCGGAUCGUAAAGCUCUGUUGUAAGAGAAGAACGUGUGUGAGAGUGGAAAGUUCACACAGUGACGGUAACUUACCAGAAAGGGACGGCUAACUACGUGCCAGCAGCCGCGGUAAUACGUAGGUCCCGAGCGUUGUCCGGAUUUAUUGGGCGUAAAGCGAGCGCAGGCGGUUUAAUAAGUCUGAAGUUAAAGGCAGUGGCUUAACCAUUGUUCGCUUUGGAAACUGUUAAACUUGAGUGCAGAAGGGGAGAGUGGAAUUCAUGUGUAGCGGUGAAAUGCGUAGAUAUAUGGAGGAACACCGGUGGCGAAAGCGGCUCUCUGGUCUGUAACUGACGCUGAGGCUCGAAAGCGUGAGGAGCAAACAGG